CGUUUGGUUGGGGGGAUAAGCGGGGAUAACGAAAGUUAUCUCCGCUAUUCCGCCAAACGGGGUGAAAUUUGGCCGGGAUAUUUUAUCCUGGUCAAACCUUGCUAUUCCCGGUUAUCCCGGAAUAGCAAGGAAUUUGCUAUUCCACCAUUUUGGUGGAAUAGCACUAUUCCAAUGCUUAAUUUCAAACUUAAUUAAAAUUAUAAAUUGAAUUAAAACUAAAUUAUAUAAAUAUAAUAUGUUAUAUAUUAUAAUACAAUAUUUUUAUUAUAAAAUUAUUAAUUAUACUAUAUUAAUACAUAUUAUUUAUAUUUAAAUAUUAUAAUAAAAUUUAUAAUAAAUUAUAUUUAAAUAUUAUAAUAAAUUCUUUUUAUUAAAUUUAAGUUUAAGUAGAAUUUUAAAAAAAUUUAUAAAUUUAUUAUAAUAAAUAGUUUUUAUUAAUUGUUCCCACCCCUAUUCUUAUUUUAAAAAUUUAAAAAUUAAAAAUUUAAUUUUUUAAAAUUUAUAUAUUAUAAUACAUUAUUUUUAUUAUAAAAUUAUUAAUUGUACUAUAUUAAUAAUUAUUAUUUAUAUUUAAAUAUUAUAAUAAAAUUUAUAGUAAAUUAUAUUUAAAUAUUAUAAUAAAUAAUUGUUCCCAUCCCUAUUUUUAUUUUAAAAUUUUAAAAAUUAAAAAUUUAAAUUGUUAAAAUUUAUAAUUUAUAAUCUCAAAAUUAAAGUUUAUAAUUUUAAAUUUUAAAUUUUAAAAUUAAAUUUUGAUAUUUUAAUUUUGAAAUUUAAAAUUUUAUAUUUUAUAUUUUUCAAAUUUAAAUUUGAUCUUAAAUUUAAAGUUUGCAAUUUAAAAUUUAAAAUUUAAAAUUUUGAAUUUAAAAUUUGAGAUUUUAAAUUUCAAAAUUUGAAAUUUCAAAGUUAAAAUUUUAAAUUUAAAAAUAUAUAUUUAAAAUUUUAAAAAUUUAAAUUCAAAUAUAAUAAGAGGAUAAUAUGAUUAUUUUUAUUUAUAAAACCCACUAUCUUUCUUAUUCCAUCUUAUCUAACCAAACGCUAUUUUUUUUAUUCACAGGAAUAACCCAAUUUUCAUCCAAACGCAAAAUUGAUCUAAUCCCCGCUUAUAUCUCAAUUUAUACCUAUCCCUGGAAUAGCCACUUUUUCCUUAUCCUCGAACCAAACGAUAAGAAUGAUUUCAUUGUGGCACAAAUUU
rnacentral:lncRNA from 1 species